GCCGCCAUCAUCUAGAGGCCAAGGAUACAUGGUUCUCAACCAUGACACACCGGUUCGAAUCCGGUUGGCGGCA
rnacentral:tRNA from 2 species